GUGGGGAAUUUUGGACAAUGGGCGAAAGCCUGAUCCAGCCAUGCCGCGUGCAGGAUGAAGGCCUUCGGGUUGUAAACUGCUUUUGUACGGAACGAAACGGCUCUUUCUAAUAAAGGGGGCUAAUGACGGUACCGUAAGAAUAAGCACCGGCUAACUACGUGCCAGCAGCCGCGGUAAUACGUAGGGUGCGAGCGUUAAUCGGAAUUACUGGGCGUAAAGCGUGCGCAGGCGGUGAUGUAAGACAGAUGUGAAAUCCCCGGGCUCAACCUGGGAACUGCAUUUGUGACUGCAUCGCUGGAGUGCGGCAGAGGGGGAUGGAAUUCCGCGUGUAGCAGUGAAAUGCGUAGAUAUGCGGAGGAACACCGAUGGCGAAGGCAAUCCCCUGGGCCUGCACUGACGCUCAUGCACGAAAGCGUGGGGAGCAAACAGGAUUAGAUACCCUUGUAGUCC
rnacentral:rRNA from 1 species